GGAGGCAGACAAGGCUAUUCCUGUUUGAUACUUGGGACUGUAGCUGCUGCAAUCCACUCAGGCCCUCAGCUCUGGUCCAGGAUUCUUACUGUGUUGCCCAGGUUGGCCAAGAACUUCUGUGUUCAGGGAAUCUUCCUUCUGGAGCAGCUGUCAGCCUGUAUCACUAUGCCGAAGUGAAAUGUUUUGUUAAGUUAAGGAUAAAUCAACAAUCAAAAAUAAGCUGGGGAACACUUGUAAUGCCAGAAUCCAGGAUGUGGAGGUUGCCAGGAGUUCCAUCAUAUCCUGGACUUCACUUUGUUCUUAGGAAUGACUUACAGUGGAGGUGAAGAGUUCUGGAGAUCCAUAAUGAUAUCUGCAAAAGGACCCAAAGAUACAGGAAACACAUGCCUGCUCAAACUUAGCUGCGUGUUAGACUCCAUGAUGCAGAGGUCACAGCCAGGGACAUGGAUGCCAUCGCUUUAGACUGCAGCCAGGAUGUGGGGUUUUCAACAAAGCUGCCCAGAGGAUUCAACAUGCAGUGUGUUUGAGAUCCACAGACUCAACCCAAAGUUCAUCCUAAAGGCUCCGGAAUGGCAAAAGAUGGUUCCUUUCUAAACACCACUUACCAACUCCCAGAUUAAUCUCUCCCCUUACUCUAAAAAGAGAGUAGGUAUCUAGUGGUUCUUGAGAAUAAUAGAGUUUAAUGUAUAUUUUUUCUCUGAAAUCUAAGGGGAGAGUCUUAAAGCCAUGAAUCCAAGCACACAAUGUCCAAGAGGACACAGGAAAUUCAGUAUUUCCUACUUAAAAUGAGAACUGUUGGUGGAGAAGCUUGGCAGAAUCAGUGCUACAGAGGACCUUCCCUGAAAAGUGAUAUUCUGCUCCGAGACGAACUGUACACAGACAGAAGCGCAUACCCAGUGUCACCUAACCUCUGGGACAGUCCUGGCAAAUCACUUUAGUGCCACCCUCCUCUAUAGAGCACACUAAGUUGUCAGUGAUGGGAUGGAGCUUGACCUAUUGUCAUUCUUUGUUUACUGAUUUUUUUUCCCCCUUCAGUUUGAAAGCAAAGUUUUUCUUCAAAAGGGUGGAUCUCAAUCUAAAACUAUCAUUCAAAAUUCAUUCAGUAUUUCAUGAAGGAACCAAAAUGUCUAACUCACCAAACAAAAACCUUCUACCUCACAACUCACGCUGUUUGGGCUUGGAUGCUGUAGGUUAAAACUCCCAGGUUGUCGAAGAGAAUAACAGAUUUGAAUUAACUCAAGUUCUGUGUCUUGUCUUUGUAAUCCUGGCGAUCACUGUUUAUCCCACAUCUCUUAUUUAAGAGUGUGUCAGGACAUGAGGCCAAAGACAGAGCUCCAAGGACCUUCUGUGGCUCCAAACCCCCACAAGCAUCCUAGAAACAAAUGCACGUAGUCUGUCAUUGCCUUUGUGUGCAUGACCGUGUGUUUUGUAAAUUUAUCUCCGUGUGAAAUAUGUUUGUUUUAAAUAAUAUAAAUGUGCUAAUUUGAAGCAAAUGUACUUACUAAUUUAUUUAUUUGUUAAAAUGCAUUCCUUCAAACACAGGCCAAGUGAUUUGAGGGGUAGGAACAUCUUUUCAUUGUAUGGAUGGCACGUGGUGAUAAUAAAAAGCAGACUGACUUCAGUC
rnacentral:lncRNA from 1 species